CCUGAAUGAAGAAAAUUAAUGAGAUCUGAGAAAUAUGCUAAUGAAGCAGUACAAAUUGUUUCAUUAAAGAACAGAAACUUUUGAGCCCCACCCACAAACAUUUAAGUCAGUAGAGAGCAAGAAUUUCUCUUUAAAGAUUAAUAUUUUAUAUAUAUUAUUUUCUAAAAGGCUAAAGGAUUGCAUUAAAAUAAUGAAUGAUGCUUAAUUUUAAGGGUGUUUAAAUCUGGCAGAUGCUGUCUAGGAUGAGCAAAAUACCUAUUUGACUAUUUUUGAAUGCCUGGGUAUACUACUUAUGGUACAAAGUAUCACAUAUUAUCUACCAUCUAAGGUGCUGGAAACAGAAAUUCAAGAUGCUUAGAUGGUGCUGUGGUAUCUUCAAGGUUUGUGGGAGAGACCAUAACCAUUAUACAUUUGUUGGCCCAUCCUUUGAGAAGCUCAAGAUGGAAUGGACUGGAUUAACAGAAUAGUGCUUUCUCCUCUCUCUGGGAGAGCCCAGAGGACAGCAGUAUCAGCUGCAGGAGGAUCUGUGUCCACAAGCUUGUGAAGCACUGCCUGGCAGUUCAUUCCUGCAGGAGCAGCCCCAUCAGUUUUUGGCAUAAGCACUGAUAAAGAAUUCAACGUCUACAGGGCAUUCUGGUGAGAACAAUUCUUACUGUACAUCAGUUGAAAAUGGAAAAGCCUCCUUUGACUUUUGAAGAAUUCCUACGUUCUCAAGACUUGAUCUAAAACCAAGGAAACAUGUAUGGAAUAAAUGGAAUCUUGAAAGAUGUAAGGUUACCACUGCAAAUCAUAACAGUAAAGGUGCUGCUGCUGACAAACCAACGAGUGAAUCUUCUCAGAUCCACAGCAGAUCGUCUCAGAAACAAGACAGAGAUGAUGGCCCCUCUCUUCUCCCACUGAAGUCAAUGAUAUUACCAGGUAUUUUAAUUAACUGUCUAAGUACAGGUCAGUGUUAUUUUGAAAAUCCCACACUCCAACUAGUUAACUUCCUAUGCUCAACAUUUUACAUUAAAUUAAAUGAAUUUUAUUUAGUUUUGAUGUACUUUUUGCAGUAAUGUGCACAGCUGCUCAGGCUUGAGCAACAGAAAAGAAAUAUUAGGGUGCCUGAAGAGAACUCAGGACCACAAGAUGUAACACUUGGACAGCAAUGCUAUCAUCACAUCUUUCAAGUAAAUCUAAUUAUUCAAAAGUACUAAAUGAUUUUCUGUACUCAUUAGUUCCUACCAUGAAACACAAAGCUGGGACAACUUAGAGCAUUAUUCUGUUUCCUUUACAAAAAGUGUCUUUUCCUGAUGAAAAGUUUUACAAAAGAUUGAUUUUGUAACAGUAAAAUAAAAAUCACUUUAAAAUCAAAUGCCAAUACUGAGCAUUGCCGUUCUUUAAAUGAUGCCAGCAGUCUCAGGCUGGUAUCCUGUUUGAAGAAGGAAAAUGGAUUCUUUUUAAAGAUCACAUUCUAAAUUUUCCAUCUUGCUGUUUGAAUGCUGUUGCGCUGCUGCAACUGGUUAGUGCUGCACAUCUGGCUGAAUUGUCUUAGACCAGUAUUUCCCCUCAACUAUUGUGUAUGUGUGAUGGCUUUUUUAAAAAACACUGUAUGCAGACUGAACAAUGCCCUAUUGCAGACUGCUGCACACAGUAAUUAGAGAGCAUAUUUUUUCCUGAUUUUGUUUCCAAUGUCAAAAAAGCACUAUUUUUAAAUUAAGCCACCAUGAAAUUCUAAGUAUGUUUUUACAAUAUUUUUCGUGUUAGGGUUUGGUUUUUUUCAGGCCUCUUAAUCUCCUAGGCCCAGACUUCACACUGGAAGUGUUAUCUCAUAAAAUCUCUAAAUUUCAACAACUUUUACUCUGCAGCUGCUAUUUUAAACUUAUAUUUAUCGGGGAAGAGAGCACAUAACUCACAUAUUCUAAUAAAAAUAGUUUCAUGGAAGCAAAACAGAUAAAUGUUCCAUUCAGUAAAAGGUCAGUUUUUCAUAGUUUUGGCUACAGAAGCACUACCAUUCAGCCAAAUUUGAUUCCAAAGCCAGAAGUUCUAUGUCCUGCUGCUGUGCACCAUAGUAUUAAGAUUUUGCACAAGUUCAUCAGACUAAUGGGGGGCAAAAAGCCAAUCUUUUCUCAUAAAAUGACUGAGACAGCACAGCCAAUGACCAAAUGUUGUUACUUAUAAAUACUAUUAUUUACAACCUUUGAAAAUAUAAGUAUCUGAAAAUAGAGGUGAGGGGCAGAGGUGAAGUGAUUAUUUCUUCCAUAAAAACAAGCAAACAAAUACCCAGAGCCCUAAAAGUGCAAGGUCCUGAUUUGGGUUCUGGAAUGCCCACAGUUCUGAUCAGCUAAGAAGUCCGCUGCCACAGGGCAGCUCCCAGCUGCACAGGUUGCAUUCGACACCAGCACAGGAUGCAGCAGGAACCACAGAAGUCACCAGAGCACAUUUUAUGUUUCUGAGGGAUGACAGGCCUAGGCUGCUCUAAUUUAUACUCCCAAAAGCACUGCCUUAUACAGUCCAAUUCUGAACAUAGGAAGUUCCAUAUAAACAUGUGGAAGAACUUCUUUACAGUAAGGGUGAUGGAGCACUGGAACAGGCUGCCCAGAGAGGUGGUGGAGUCUCCUUCUAUGUCUAUCAAAGCACACAAAACCUUGGAUAUAUUAUUGAUUGCUCCUGUGUCGACUACUGGGAAUCCUCAUCUGUAGAUGAAUUGCUCUUUUUCAUCACUGGUGCAAAAUAUUUGGCUGCAGACAGAAGGAGUUCCUGGCAAAAAUGUGGGAUUGUGUCUCUUGUGUAUGUGCAACUAUAUCUGAGAGAAAACAUUAACUUUUAGCACCUUUUUCAACCAGCAGCAAAAGAGAUUUUGGGACACACAAGGACAAACAAAGACACUAAGUGUAGUCUCUGUCUUCCUUUUGUUCCUCUGCAAGUUUCUGUAAAAACGCUAAAGAGAGUUUUGCACCUCUUUUUAGAAUAAGUCUGACAUAAUUCUGCUGAGUACUCACAGGCCUUGGGUAAAUUCAACUCAAGAAACACACUGUAUCGUUUAUUCUCUGAAGAAAGCUCUGCGGUAUUUCUUGGAAUAAUGAAACCUGGCUUCUGGUUUUCCAGUUUCAGAUCUCUACUACCUAGUAAAAGUUGGGCUUUCUAGCCUCUGUCAGUUUUAUGGACUUUGCAGAUACCCGGUUUCUCUCUGUACACGUUCUCUAGUGACUUUGAUCAGGAGUUCCCAAGCUUUGCUCAUUUGGUUACCAUCAUCAGAAAUGCUGCUGACCUGUGAUGUGAGCAAAAGCUUCUUGGCAGGCCAGGUACACGUGUCGAAGAAGCACACUGUCACCUCCAACCCUCUUCCUGCAAACCUCUCAUCCAUCAAAUUGGGACCCUCAGUUGCAUAUUUUCAUCUACCAUUGCACUGUGUCUCACCUCACAAACUACAGCCUUUGCUAAAGGUCUAAUCCCUGACUUACCUUUUGACCACAAACAGCACCAACACAAAGCAACGUGACAGUGACUGUGACUGCAUCCUGUUUCUUGGGAAGCCACUCCAUCUUAUGAACCCUGCUUCCUGCUGCCUUAGCCCUACUUGAAACCUUCCUGAAGCACCCACGUUGAGCUGUGCAGUGUGAAUUGGAUUACUUUGAGCAGAUUAUUGGAGCUACAACCACGCAGAGAAGCCAGCCACAACUGACAACAAAAAAACUUUCUGUGUGGAACUGUUUACCUUAUGGCUUAGAUAAGCGCUUGUAUACAAGCACAGUUAAAGGCUGCCAUCAUCAUGUACCACUUUAAGUUGGCUUCGUACCAUAAUUUCUGACUUACUUAGACAAUAGGCAAAAAUAUGCAUAACAGUCAUAUUUAGAUCUGCUCUUUUCUCUUCCUGACAAUGUUCUAAUUUAAGAUCCUAGUUUCACUUAACCAGACAUUUUUACUGGAGAGAACUUCAUUCCCAUACGGCACUUUCAAGGACCAUGACUCCUCCAAUAAUUUUCAUGACAUGAGCCAAAUUCUGCUAGCACUUGUAUUGGUAACAGGUCACAUACUUGGGGUUUGUUUUUAGACUAAUGUUUGUUUAAAAAAGUGAGGAAUACAUUUUGGAUUAUAUGCAUGUUCAUUCCAAAAAAACUGUGAAAAGAGUAAGGAGAAUCAGAUGGAAGAAUUUUACCUCUACUUUGUGCUGAUUAUAUAAUUUAUCAAAAAAAAAAAACAAAAAACUGUUCCACAGGCCUCCAACAGAUGCUCUGCUGUUAGAGCCAUGAAAAGUCAUUCAGGGAGAGGGUAAAGGCCUCGGGGGUGUGGUCCACAUCCUUUAGCACAUAUAUCCUCAGUCCUGGCCUGCAGAUAGCACAUCUGGUCCAGGCAUGGACCUGACGGUUGGCCAAAACACAGGCUUACAAUAAUGCUCCUUUUUCAGCUUUAAUGUAAGCCUGUUUUCUUGCCAAAUUCAAAUCCUGCCAAAAUUUGGCCAAAGAUGUUUGCUCAAUUGUGCAAUAUCUUAAGUUUAUAUCCAACAACUCUUUGCAAAAACAAUUGCAUCGUGUUUUUAAUGUUUACAGGCAUCAACAAUAUUUAAUUUUAAGUAGAAUUUUACUGCUGACACUCUUGUGUUUUACAGUAAAUUACCUUAGAGAGGGUUUUUCCAUUAGCUUUUAGGGUCACGAGUCCUGCACAGCACACCAAAGCACUGGAGCUAGAAAGACCAGAACUUGGAGGGAUGGUUCCAUCUAGCAGACAAUUCAUUCCAGUUGGGUUAUUAAGACCAAAAUGUUCCUAACAAUGAAAAAAUAAACAAUCUCAGUUUCAAGUACAGACAGGCUCAGGCUUGCAAUUAUCUGAUACUUAGAAAGAGAAUCUUUCUGCUAAGUUGCUGGAACCAAAGACCUGCUUCUGGUAUCUUCAAAAUAAAGCAGAAUUUUCAUUCUGUUCUUCCAGAACAAAGCCAAUGGUAGGGCUUCAGCCAAAGGUAUGUUUGCAAUUCCUGUACACUAACAUAAAUGGGCUGACAGAACUGUACCCCAAGCAGAAUUCAGGGUGAGCUAAAUGCCCAGGAAUUUACCAAGCUUCGUGGGUGGGUUUUACAGCACUGGCUCAGCUCUAAGCUGUCAUGGUGAUGGUACCAGAGGUUACGUCUGUUUUUGUCCUUUUCUCCUCAGCUCCUCACUUUAUGCAUCCUGAAGUGCACAAAGUCCACUUCACGCCUUACUUUUAAUGCAGGCAUGUGGUAUUGAAGAGCCACAUCAUGCUGAUCAGGAACUAGUAGCCAUUUACCCAAGUUCAAAGCCAAAUACUGCUAUCUCCUGUAUUAUCCAUGGUACUGGCACUGAGAAAACCACAGUGGUACUUGAAAGACGUUAUGCUUUGGAAGGAACCAGCACUGAUAGUAUCUGUCAUGCUAUCUCUAGAAUAAAUAAUGAAACACUUUACAUACAUGGCAAACUACCACAGAUGAUACACUUAGCAGAGAAGUCAUAAAUCCUUGUGCAUAUAUUUUUUAAUUACUCUGCAGUCACUUUUUUUUUUUUUAAUUUACCAUAACUCUAAAAUUUUGCAAAAUACAUACAAAAAUCUUAGAAUAUAUAUAGUGGAUACAUUAAUAGCUACAUUGUGAUACAGAUUUAUAUGUUAACAAACUAUGUUAUCAUAACCAGACAAAUACUCUCAAUGAUCAGAGUGAUAGCUGUGUUUUUCCUUACAGAAAUGCCCACCUUCAAAAGAUUUCUACUUUUCCUGAAAUAACUUCAACCAUAAAUACCAAAGGUGGAGACCAGAAAACACAAAACACCUCCUUUAAUGUUUUCUGCUAUCGCUUCAGAUUAAAAUUUCCCUUUCUACAAAUAGAAGGGAAUUCAUAUCUGAAAUACUACUUCUGCCCUUCAUGAAGAACACUAGACAGGCUUGUUCAAAAACAGAAAAUGCUUCAGUAACCAGAAACUGAUCCACAGUUUCUGGACUGUCUUGAAUGUGAAUCAGGCUUGCAAACUUAUCACGCAAUGUUUAAAUAGAAAACGUACUUCAGUCUCAAAAAUGAAAAUGGACUUUGCCAAGUUCUGCAAUAGUUCUGUCCCAAAAGGAUAGCAUGUUCAACUCAAUAUAAACAGAUUAUCCCGCCGGACCCUCUAAAUACUUGUAUUUCAGUGUUUCUUAAGUCUGUAACAUUUGUGCUCAUUUUCUGCCAGCACCAGAGUCUGAAAACCUGCUUUGCAAAUUAACCUUCAAGUAUAAAAGUUUGUCUUUAGGAAACAAAUCUCAGUAGCAGACUGCAAAACAAGUCAGUUGGUCAUGCUAGCCUUAAUACAAGAAAAGAUAUACUGCAAAAAAAUUAAUCUGUAUCUCUACCUCUAGAGUCAAUGCAAUUUAAAUGCAUAAUACUGAGCUAUACAAAAUUGAGAACAUUCAUGUUACCGCAAACAUAUUUAAGGGUAGCAAGGGCAUGCUAAACAUGGUGUAUGGGGGUCUGUUUAGGAGCUGUGGAUAAUCAUAAAGUGAUUUGGUCCAAAUAUCUUCUUUUGACGAUACAAGUGCCAGAUCUGAUGCGGGCUUUCUUGGCUGUUUGCAGUGCUUAUCUAUUGGACCAUUCUGUGGGGUAACUUAGAUGGCCCACCUAGAGGCAAAUUUCAAAAGCACAUUUUUCCUUAAUUUGAGCUGGCUGUAGAGACCUGACCUUGCCAUCACUGUUUAUCCCAUCUGUCCCUUCAGAAAAGUCUCUAGACUGACAUUGGGUUGAGAAGUUACUGUGUUUUUUAACUCAAAGGCCAUGAAUCACCUGCAGAUGACAGGUGAGAUUUAUAAGAAGCCCCAGUUCUGAGUUCAGGCUGCUUCCCAGGACAAUACUGACAAUCAGCAGUUGGUAUCACAAGCAGUUCAGUCUUCAAGCCAGUCCGGAGACAGGCCAGCUCACAGAGGAGAAGAUAAAGCUCAAGUGAGCAGACAGGAAAACGUCUGUCUGUUCAGUGUUCCAGCCUUUACCGUACGUGUGCUGUUUCCUGCAUAGCUGCACUCUUAACUCACUUAGGAAAUUUUGAAAUUCCCAUUCAAAUUCCACACUGUAAGUCUUGAAUAAGUAAUGAUUCUUACUGGAUUAUUCCUUCUGUAUGCAGUUUAUUUACUUUAAUGAUUUCUUUUACCUCCUGCAUGAGUCAGCUUCACUCAGUUGCUGGCCAUGAGUUGUAGGUUCUCUGCGCUAAUGGAAAUUAAUUGUGUUUUUUAAAAUGUUUCCAUGGGAGGAAAAGGACUAAAAUAUAACCUUUGUGUUCUGGCAGACAAGCCUCUGAACCUUUCAAAAGCAAGCUUUAAUUACGUGAUUCCAUUGGGAAACAUUCCUCUUUACUCUAAAAUAUAGAAAUGCCAUCUUGAUUCAUGAGUUUGACCAUGACUUUACUAAAUAAGUAACUGUUUGUUAACAUAAUGUAAGUAAUAAAUAUGAAUAUUGCACUCUGCAAUAUUUUAAAACAAAACCACUCAAAUCUCCUCUUCAAAUAAUUGUAUAUUAAAAAAGAAAAAAGAGAGAGAGAGAGAGAGAAUGCAGGGAAGUAUGUAAGUAUGUUGAAGGUAAAUAGAUACGCUUCUCAUAAUUUACUUCUGCAUUAAUUUUGUAAGUUAAAUGAAUUGGCUUACCUGAAUGCCCUUCAGUCCACACAAGAAGUAGCUGUGCCACUGAGGCUUGGUUUUGUUAAUCUGAAUGUUAUUGACACUAGUACUGAAAUCCCUGCAAAAACAGAAAAACCUUGUGGCUUAAACUUGUCGGUACCUUUAGUGUGAAAAAAACCACAUGGCUUAUUACUGCCAUCUGCUGAUGCACAAAAGCAUUUCUAUGUUAAUCAUUUAUUUCAGUACAACAUUUGGUUUUUCAUACAGAUCUUCAUUAGUCAGUUCUAAAGUAUAUUUUAGAUAGAAGUAUAAAGUUUUCCUUAAUAUAUAGGGGUAUUUUUACAUAAAUUCAGGAAAUAAACUGCCCUUAGCACCCUUUGUCAAGGCAGCAUAACUUCCAUCACAGUUGUAUAAGCUCUCUUGAAUCUCUUUGAGAAAUAUAACUCUAAGUAAUCACUUUGUCAAACCUAGAAUAGAGAUAAAUAUUCUUCAGGCUUUCUUGUGAUCCCUGCUCAGGAAUUAAUCAUCAUUUGCCCUGAAUGGCAGGUCACUAAAAUGGGCAUAUUGCUGCAAAAUUUUGUUAUGUAUGUUACAGGAUACAAUUAAAAUAACAGUUUAUCCACUCUCGGGAUUUUUUAUCUAUCUCCAGGAUAAUGCUGAUAAUGGUUUUCCUACUGAAUUUUGAAAUAAUAAAAGUGUUAAAAUGGUAAACUUGAAUGUUCCUAAAGGAACCAGUGCUACAGAUAGGUUCUCUGUAAUGUACCCAUGUACAGUGAUGUGCAGAGGCCUUGGAGAUGCAUGCAUUAAUCAACACACAAAGCAGACUGUUUAUGAGUCUAUAUUGUCAAACACCCAAUAACUGUAUCUGAAGCCAGUACAGCAGAUGCCCAACAAAGAAAAAGUAAAGGUGCUCAGAAUGUCAGGAAAAGCUAAAAAUAUUAUUAAAACCUGGCAGGCUGCAAUUUUUGUGCUCAUACAAAUAUACAGUCUAAUGCUAGCUAUGUACUGCCAGUAUACAACCUACAGAUCUCACACUUCAAGUAUCAGCUUAGAGUGACCACUUUGCAGCUUAUACAUUCCAUUUCAAUAUUCAGUACAGUACAAAGCUAUCACACUUCGCUAUACUGUUUCAUAAGUUGCUCUUUUUCAACGUGAAUGGUUCUGAAUAGUGCCACUUACUGGACUUCAUCAGCAGUGCAGCACUGAAGAGUUGUACAAAGGUAAGUGCAAAUUAUUGGUGACUGCAGAGUAAUAAGAAAGAUCUGAAAGGGAAUGUUAAGAUUACAAUACAGGGAAUGUUCAAGAAUAGCAGUAAAUUCUUCCAAUUUUGGUUCAUGUGUCUUUGGAACAGUCUUCCAGAUAAUAAAACAAAAUUGUUUCUCAUAUGGCUUUUAAACAAAAUGAGAACAAUAAAGUACAGUAAAAUAUGAUUGUCAAAAUUCAUGAAGAAUAAAAUAAUGCUAUGCUUGCUUCUGCUUGGUUUACACAAAAAUGGUUAUUUUUAAACAGCAAAAAUGAUGCAAAACAUUGUGUAAUUAUCAAAGGAAAAUGGAUUUGAAGUCCUCUUUGAAAAGCAGUUAUAAAAUAUUUUAUCUCCAUCGUUAUUUUUGUACAAUCAUAUGAAGUUAAGCUUAAAUGAACAAAAGACUUAUACUAUGGGAUAUAGUUGCUGGUUUUCUAGAUAAAUGAAAGUAACGACUUCUUAAAAUGCAUUUUGCGUAUUUCUUAAGUCUUCUCACACGGAAAAAGAAAGAAAAGUUGGCUUUGAAUUUGGCAAGUUUCACAUGCACAUAAUUCAUACAAACACAGGAUGUGGAACUGGCAAGGUCCCCAGAAUGCUUAAGUCUAUUUUUUUUUUGUUAUCACAUUCAAUUUGUUAUAAAAACUCAUUCCUAAAUGUCCAAACUUUAUCUUAAAUCAGUAAAUCUUUAGUCUUGCCUUUUGUCCCCAUACUGGCAGGUAGGCAGCUUGAUAUAAGUACUUGGUUAAAGAAACAACAAAAAAGUAAGCAGAAUUUACCACUGAGGUAAAAAUACUCCAAUAUUUCUAUUCCACACCUGCUAUUUGACAUGGGGAUCCCCUCCUCCGGUACUAAAUAGAAACAUUUAAUUGGUCUGCUUAAUUAGAAGAGAGCAGUUUUUUAAAUAAUGUGAAGGAAACACAUGGGUGAUGUGUUCUUCUCUCCUUGAUUAGUAAUUAAUCUUUACUUCUGAAGACCAAUUUGGCAUUUUCUCACAGACCCUCUUAAAGAAAAUUUCAGGUUAUGCCAUUAAUUAUCAUUUUUUGAUAUUUCUGAAAGCAUUUUGUAUGUGUGUUUCUCAAUUAUAAAGUUGCUACGUGAAAGGAAGGUAUCCAGAAUUUCAAGUCUUUAACUUUUGAAGAGCAUCUUAAUCUACAUAAUAAUUAACAAUGAUUUAAUCAGUUGGGAUGCUUUAUGACGAAAAGCAAACACAACAGUGUUUUGUUUUUCCUAAAAUUAACACAAGCAAUGGGAGUGGAUGAGAGCUACAAACUGUUACACAUUUUACCAGUUCAAAAACAAGAAUGGAAUAGAUAGCAGUGAUUUUACAUAGGCUUAUGGUUGGUCCUUGUUAGUGGAAGAUAUUCACCACAGGUUUAUGCCAGGGCAACAGUCUGGGGAAAAGAUACACUGUCAACAAUUUUGUUGUGUGAUGUAACAUUACAAGUGCUGAAAACUAUUUGUUAUGAAAUUAUGGGCAUGUUUUCACUUUGUUUUUAAGCAACAGUGUCUCAACAAAAGAGAGAAUGUUUAAUGCCAUGUUCUGAAAUCUCUUCUUGGCUUAUAGUUUAAAAUGUAUGAUUUCAAAAUGAAACCAAAGCAGAUAUAUAAAAAUAGUGACUGUGCAGAUAAUUUGAAUACAAAGGCUGUAAUUCUAGAUGAGGUAGAAACUGUAUGUGCCUCAGAAAGCCAUUUCAAUUGCUCUGUAAUGUGCCAAAGCUCAAAGACCACGUGAAAACAUUUACCUUUUGGUUACUGCUUUAUUUAGUAUCCUUUAUAACAACUUUCCCAAAUCAAAGCUGUUGCAGUUCUGGAGCUUUGUCUUGCAGAAUGGUUUUGCAAUAUAGCAGGUUUCUUCUACUCAGAGGUAAAGGUCCCACUCAGUUUCCUUCCCCCCUGCUCACCACUGCAUGUUCCCACUGUUAGCCCUGAGUUGGCUUUUUGUGCUGAGUGCAUUACAAUUCAACUCACUAAAAUGACAGAAAAUUAGCCAGACAAAAAAAUGGGUGAACAGCACACUUUAUCCUAAGGUCAGACAAAUACUACACCUGCUAAAAGGCAGAGGGUGUAUCGAUGUUGGAAAUGCAGAUUAGGAAACUGCGGAUAAAAUAAACAAAGCCAGGGCAUUCCCACUUGGGAGUGGCAAUCUCUUAAUUCAGCCCAGUCAUAUUGUGAAAAUAUACUCCACAAAGUGAGGGUAAAGUAUUUCAAUAUUUAUAUGAUGUAUGGAAGUGAAAAUUGGUUUUAACUGCUUAACCUGCAAGCGGCAUCUCAGAACAUAUCAUUAUAAGAUUUGAGCUUUAAGCAGGCAUAGAUUGCUUGCCACUCCUGGCACUGUGUUCCUGUCCCUGUGCUGCCAUAUACAUAGGAGUUAUUUGCUAUUGGCUUAAAGCAAUGAAGCUGGUGCUGAUUUGAUUUUUGCAAAAUGCCCAUGAAAUUUCAUGUGGAUGAGUGACCUGAUCUGAACUAUCAAGCAACCACACAAAUAUCAGUUCGUUUACAAAGAAGGAAGUGGAAAAAAUGCAGCAGGAACUGAAAAGAAUGGCAGGAAUAUUUCCAUAUGUUCAGUACUUGUGAGCGCACAUCUAGAAUACUCUCUUCAGUUUGGGGGCUUCCCAGUAAGAGAAAGAAAUUGGCAAACCGUAGGGAGUCCAGCAUAAGGCCAUCAUGAUGGUUAUAAAGGUACUGGAGCACAUCACUUAUUAAAAAGAGGAGAGGACAGCUGGUUUUAUUCAGUCUGCAAAAGAAGAUUAUAGUGGACACUCUAAUUUGUGUCUUUGACCACUCAUCACAUGGCUCCACUGAAGAUAUAACCAAACUCUUCUUAUGCAUAUACGGAGAAAUGAUGUAACUGACAAACUGCAGCAAGGAAAAGAUACAAUUAGACAUGAAGAAAAUACUCUUCACAACAAGGGCAUCCAAAUUGGAGAAAAAGUUGCUCAAAGAGCUUAUGGAGUUUCUAGCUUUGGACAUAAUCAAAACUUUAAUUAACAGUGUCCUGAACAACCUGCUGUAACUUUUCCAUCAGCCACAGAUUGGACCAGAUGAUCUCCAAAGGGCCCAUAAAAUCUAAAUUAUUCAAUGAUUCUGUGUGCAAGCAGCUGUGGAGGAAAUGGAAGAGGGAAUACAGCAUCUCUGAUCAGGGAUCAUUGCUAAAGCCCUCGUGUUGUGAAAAUACAGCCCCAGGUUCUCCAGCGUGAGGGAGUGUUAGCUUAUAUAUGCAGUAAUUGAUUACAAAACAUUUCACUCCCUUCCCCAGGAGAAACUGAACUGCUGCCAGUAGAGAAGGUUACAUCAAGAAAGAUGAGCUAACAGAAGAGAGGGUUGCACUUCCAGAGUGACUGAAAAUGAGUGGGAGACAGGAGCAGAGAACUUAUUGCUCUAAACCAAUAUGCACAGCGUUGAUCAAAUUGGAUGGAUUCCAUUUGAUUGUAUCACUCCAUGUACACAAUUAAACUCCAUACUGCAAUCUAAGUUUGUCAGAAGUUAACCUAUCAUACACUUGCAUUAAGAGGUUCAUAAAAACUUGUGAAUAAACAAAGCAAUUACUUACAAGUACGAAGAAUUUAUAUUGGCCAAUUGCACAACUUCAGUCUUUACAGGUUCUACUGCAAUCAAGAUAUCUUGUUCUAUAGCCAUCGGGAGCACGGCAUAACCACAGUAGUCUAUGUGUUCUCCUACCAAGGAGACAGAGAAUUAAAGAUAUUUUUAUAUAAGUCUUUCUAGAGUAACAGAAACAAGGCUUGUACAGACCUCAGUGUUGUUUUCUAUAUUAGACAACUUCUGAGUAUAGACUCAAUUCUUACUAUUUAAAGUACAUCUGAUAGUUUGGGGUAUAUUUCCUCCAUUUUGUAUUUCCACACAAAGACUUCUCUUUAGUGACUUUAUCUAUUCCAUCUAUUUGCAAAUCUUCAUUUUUUAACAUUGGGUUAUGAAAAUUAAAGACCUCUACAAAUACUAUUGUUCAGAAUGAGAACAACUACAUUUUUUGUACGCUUUUGUGUCAGCAUGAAAAAAUAAUUCUAUUGGUGACAUUUAACUGAUGACUGGAAGAGAUAAAGGCCGUACACGACUUCCAUUAUGUGGUUUCCUCUGCACGUGUGGCAGAUUCAUCAGCUGCUGGACAAAGCAAGUGGAGGCCUUUCUUUCCAUAAAGAUUCUGAACUUUUUUCCAAGAAAAUUAUAGUUAUAGUAAUAACUAACACAGAUACAUACAACACACAAGGUGGCAUUCAGACAUGAAAUGCAUGUAGUGAACAUCUGCCUUUAUGAACAAGACAGCAAACACAUGCUGUUUAGGUGUAUGCAGAACACCAAGAUAAAAGUUAUCAUUAGUUGCACAAUGGAUUAAUUAACUUUAAAGCUCUGUUUUCUGAAGUUCUUUAACUUACAAAGUCUACAUAUGCAUAUGGUUACUUGUUUUAAAUACACAAGAAAUUGAGCUCUAGGGAAAGCAAAAACCUAACACAGAGAAAUUUAAAGAUAAAGAUAAUAAGGCUGUCAUAGAAACACAGGUAAGGUUUGGAUAAAUAAUAAUAGUGUCUCUCUCACUCCAGGCAGCCAGUGAAUCGCAACCAGCUGUUCUGUGGAUACAUCUCUAUUGCUGAGUGAAGAACAGAGCAUGGCAGAAUCAUUUCAUGCUUCAUCAGAUGCAUUGCUGUUUGGCCGGUUUAUGUGGUAACUGCACUUACUUAAGCAACUUAUCUAGGAAAAAAAUUUUUUUUAGAUUAUAUGUUUUAAAUUACAAUACUUUUGUGAUGGCAGAUAAAAUAACAAAAGAUUAA